GUUCUCCUUAUCAGCAAGGAGGAGCCUUUCAGGUCUGUAUUUCUCUUGUAGAUACCAGGAUGUUUGCUGAGGAAUGUAAUACAUCCUAUGGACUUAAUCCAGGCAGGGCUACAGAUUCUUCCAGAACCCGAUAUUUUCUUCUGCUAAAACACUGAUCAUGUGGAAUGACAAAUUCAUCAGUUCCCAAAUCUCUCCCACUAAGACCAUGAACUCCAGGGAAAUGCAUCCAAUUCAUCUCUGCCCCAGUUGAAGAAGUGCCCAGUGAAAGUUGAGGCGCGACAGAACAGAAGAAUAAACAAGGAGAAGGAAAUGAGUUCACAGGAGAGCAAUGAAAUGCUUGGGUGUGUGGA